rnacentral:rRNA from 1 species
AUUGAACGCUGGCGGCACGCCUAACACAUGCAAGUCGAGCGGCAGCAUGCUUAGUAGCAAUACUAAGUGAUGGCGAGCGGCGGACGGGUGAGGAACACGUAGGAACCUGCCCAAGAGAGGGGGAUAACUAAGGGAAACUUUAGCUAAUACCGCAUAAUCUCUGAGGAGAAAAGCUGCCCGUAAGGGUAGCGCUUUUGGAGGGGCCUGGGUCCGAUUAGCUAGUUGGUGAGGUAAAAGCUCACCAAGGCGAUGAUCGGUAACUGGUCUGAGAGGACGACCAGUCACACUGGGACUGAGACACGGCCCAGACUCCUACGGGAGGCAGCAGUGGGGAAUCUUGGACAAUGGGGGCAACCCUGAUCCAGCGAUGCCGCGUGGGUGAAGAAGGCCUUCGGGUUGUAAAGCCCUUUAGGCUGGGAAGAAGUGUGCGGGAUGAAUAAUCCUGUACAUUGACGGUACCAGCAGAAUAAGCACCGGCAAACUCUGUGCCAGCCGCCGCGGUAA